rnacentral:rRNA from 1 species
AUGAACGCUGGCGGCGUGCCUAAUACAUGCAAGUCGAACGAGUUCUUGUUGAUGAUCGGUGCUUGCACCAAGAUUCAACAUGGAACGAGUGGCGGACGGGUGAGUAACACGUGGGUAACCUGCCCUUAAGUGGGGGAUAACAUUUGGAAACAGAUGCUAAUACCGCAUAGAUCCAAGAACCGCAUGGUUCUUGGCUGAAAGAUGGCGUAAGCUAUCGCUUUUGGAUGGACCCGCGGCGUAUUAGCUAGUUGGUGAGGUAAUGGCUCACCAAGGCGAUGAUACGUAGCCGAACUGAGAGGUUGAUCGGCCACAUUGGGACUGAGACACGGCCCAAACUCCUACGGGAGGCAGCAGUAGGGAAUCUUCCACAAUGGACGCAAGUCUGAUGGAGCAACGCCGCGUGAGUGAAGAAGGCUUUCGGGUCGUAAAACUCUGUUGUUGGAGAAGAAUGGUCGGCAGAGUAACUGUUGUCGGCGUGACGGUAUCCAACCAGAAAGCCACGGCUAACUACGUGCCAGCAGCCGCGGUAAUACGUAGGUGGCAAGCGUUAUCCGGAUUUAUUGGGCGUAAAGCGAGCGCAGGCGGUUUUUUAAGUCUGAUGUGAAAGCCCUCGGCUUAACCGAGGAAGCGCAUCGGAAACUGGGAAACUUGAGUGCAGAAGAGGACAGUGGAACUCCAUGUGUAGCGGUGAAAUGCGUAGAUAUAUGGAAGAACACCAGUGGCGAAUGCGGCUGUCUGGUCUGUAAAUGACGCUGAGGCUCGAAAGCAUGGGUAGCGAACAGGAUUAGAUACCCUGGUAGUCCAUGCCGUAAACGAUGAAUGCUAGGUGUUGGAGGGUUUCCGCCCUUCAGUGCCGCAGCUAACGCAUUAAGCAUUCCGCCUGGGGAGUACGACCGCAAGGUUGAAACUCAAAGGAAUUGACGGGGGCCCGCACAAGCGGUGGAGCAUGUGGUUUAAUUCGAAGCAACGCGAAGAACCUUACCAGGUCUUGACAUCUUUUGAUCACCUGAGAGAUCAGGUUUCCCCUUCGGGGGCAAAAUGACAGGUGGUGCAUGGUUGUCGUCAGCUCGUGUCGUGAGAUGUUGGGUUAAGUCCCGCAACGAGCGCAACCCUUAUGACUAGUUGCCAGCAUUUAGUUGGGCACUCUAGUAAGACUGCCGGUGACAAACCGGAGGAAGGUGGGGAUGACGUCAAAUCAUCAUGCCCCUUAUGACCUGGGCUACACACGUGCUACAAUGGAUGGUACAACGAGUUGCGAGACCGCGAGGUCAAGCUAAUCUCUUAAAGCCAUUCUCAGUUCGGACUGUAGGCUGCAACUCGCCUACACGAAGUCGGAAUCGCUAGUAAUCGCGGAUCAGCACGCCGCGGUGAAUACGUUCCCGGGCCUUGUACACACCGCCCGUCACACCAUGAGAGUUUGUAACACCCGAAGCCGGUGGCGUAACCCUUUUAGGGAGCGAGCCGUCUAAGGUGGGACAAAUGAUUAGGGUG